UGGGACUGCUACAAGAGCAGGAAGUAAACAAAUCGCUCCCGCCGUGAAUCUCAGAGCACUGGAGAGGUCUGUAGAGCUCUUCUUGUCAAUGUUCUUUGCAGAGGAAGAAACUGAUUUAAGUCUCGUGCAAGCCACCAUACAGGUGAUGAACAAAACCAAUACGCAAGAACUCAGCUCUCCCACCAGCACCAGCGAUCCUUUCUGCCUCUGCCUGCAGCAGGAAGUCGCGCCAGUCGCCUUUCCUUCGGGUAAUAGGACUCUGGCUUGCGGGGAAGGGUCAGCGGAGGGACCGCCCCGACCCGGAAAGGCUUGGGGACCCGGGGCCCCCUUACUACUGGGAGGAAUGCAGGAGGGGAGGGGGCUCUGGGUGGGCAGGCAUGGAGGCCAAUCGCGGAAGUGUUGAGAUUUGUUUCCGAGGUGGAGAUCCGCCUGGACAGACCACGAUUCAGCCCUCCACCGUGAGUUUGGGGCGGGGUGGGGCCCUAACUUCGGGCAGCGUCUUCAGUUUCCUGGGGUUGUGCCUGCGCUUCCCUGAGCCGGAGCGUAUCCCGUGCCCUUUGAGCCGGAGGUGUCUAAAUCCAUUUCCUGUUGCUACUAACACAGAAUCAUUCUGUAAUCAGAGAAAAUGGCUACAGAAAGCUAAUGGAUGUUACAGAGAAGUAACUCCCAACCUGUUAGAUGUGCUGAGUUUGCUUCUCAGGAUUCCCAAAAAUGGAGCUGAGACAAAAGAGGGUAAGAGUAGAAAGUUUCAUUGCAAGAAAGUCCCUGAGAGGCCGGAGGGGUGCCAAAAGUGAGUUGCUCCUGAAGCUCUUUGACUAGGGAUUUUUAUACAGUAAAAUUACAUCACAGGUUAUCUUGGGUCAAACUACAGCCAACCUGUAGGUUUACAAGUAUGCUUACUUAGCUAAUAUUGAUUUAAUAGAAACACAAGUCACAGAUAAGCAGACUGCAUAGCACGGAGAACAUCAGCACGUGGUGGAAGGUGUCAGGGACACGCAGCAGAUGCCACUGGAGAACAAGUCCUGUACCCAUUUGUGUCACCCUCCUGGUAUUUGCUAGAAAGAAGCAGAACCAGGAUUUUAAUCAGGUGUUUCUGGACCUCACUUUGUCCCUUUAUUGGGUAUCUGAUUCCACUUUGGUGAUAGCGGAAAGACACACUCGUGGUUCAGAAGAGGCCUGGAGGAGCAGGGAAACUCACACGACUGCUCUCUUCUCCAGGACUGCAGAGAAGGUUGCAAGCAGAUCUAGCGGGCUCUAGCGGACAUACAGAUUUCAGACAGAAUUUUCCGCAUGGCUCUCUAUCACAUCCGCAGAUACCAGGAGAGCGACCACCAAUGGGUCCUGCACUUGUUCUCCAGUGGCAUAUUGGAGCGCGUCCCCGACAUCUUCCGCCACGUGCUGAUGCUGCCCCGCACCCUCAUGUUCUUACUUGGGCUGCCCCUCUCCCUACUCCUGGUCUCUGGCUCCUGGCCCUGUCACCAUGGAUCAACCUAGAUCCACCCCGGCAGGUCACUAACCCGGAGGAAAGGCCAUGGCAUUCUACAAUUCCUUUUUCUUUAAAGUGAAAAAAAAAAAAAUAACAAUAAAAUAGUUUCAAAACAGUCUAGUAAGAGAGUGACAAUGAUUAAUAUAUUGCCUAUUUUUAUCUUCAUUGUAAUUGUUCAGAGUACAAGAUGCAGGCAUGAAGUAUUGUCCAAACAGUAUUAGCUCAACCCUUUCUUUUCAAUGAACUAAGAGAAACUAGCUGUACAACUACCUUAACUACCAUGUGUAUAUAUAUAUAUAUAUUUUUUUUUUUUUCUCUCUCUCUCUCUCUUUUUCCCUUUUCCUUUUCCCUUCCCUCCUUUCCCCUUUCUCCCAUGGUCAUGGCAUUGUAGAUGCCUUAGUCCAUCACAUCGCCACCCCAUCGGAUUCCAAGGUGAUGGCUGCAUUUUUGUUAUGGUCUAAAGCUAAAAUACCCCCCCCCCGAAGUCUUGUGUGUUUAGAAUGUGAUUUGAUUGUGGUGUGCUGUACUCGUCAGUGGGUAAAUCCAUUGAUGAGUUCAUGGCUGAAUGUGCUGUUAGGAUGUGGGGCCUAUUCAGAAAAGGCAGGUCACUGCGAUGUGGAAGGGUGUUUUAUUGUCCCUGCUUUGUUCAUUCUCAUUCAUAUUCAUUUCCCUCAUUCUCAUUCAUAUUCAUUUCCCUCUCUCUGUCUGUCUCUGUCUCUCUCCCUCUCCCCGCUUCCCUCCUCUCUGCUCCUCUUCCUCCCUCUCUCUCUCUCUCUGCCUCCUUCCUUCCUGGUUGCCAUAGGAUGAGCCUCAUUCUCCACCAAUCCUUUUCACUAUGCUGCUUCUGCCUUAGGGCCAGCCAAUCAUGGAUUGAACCCACUGGAAACUGUAAGCCAAAUAAACGUCUACUCCUUUAAACUAUGGGUGUAGUGUAUUUUGUUCCAGCAACAGGAAAUCUAAUAUAAUCUUCAGUGUUCAUAUUUACCCUGACCAAAUCUUGACUGUGUGGCAUGACCCCAGGCCCUUAGUCCCAGGAGCUGUCUGCAAAGCAGCAUAACCCUCUGGUGAAGAAGUCCCCAGCUCUUCUCUUUUGGAACCCCAAGAUCUCAGAAUCUCUCCUAAGGAGCAGCCAGGUUAACCCUGGUCAGCCUGCUGAGGUCACCUGUAUUGUAGGAGAGUACAGGUGGAACUGGGUAAAGGGUAAAUCGCACUGGCCCAGGAGACUCGGGAAAGCAAGUGCUGUGAAUUCCUCUUUCCAGAUGUUAGGAGAGUCCCAAGAAUCCAGUAAGAGCCCCUGUUACGGCUGAAAUAGAUGCCAGGAAGGAGAAGAAUGGUUGAGUUCUCAAAUCUUGCUUCCUGCUGGAGGAAUCCCUAGAGAAAGUCUUAUGGCCUUGGAAAAGUUUUUUAAAAUCUCCUAACCCAAAUAGCCUGUGCAGCAGUAGGGCAAUCAAGAAGUCUGUCCUGUGAGGCAGUAUUAAAUCCAGGAAUGAUGGCUUGUGUUUAGAUGCCCCCCCCCUCAAAGCCUCUUGUGGCCAUAGGUGGGGCUUUUCAGAAGUGGCUGGAUCUAGAGUGUGUGGUGCUAGGAUUACAUGUGUAAUUCUGGGAUCAAGGGUGUGUAAUUACUAAAUUAGUCCACUGAUUGGUCUGGCAUAGUUCUGGGAGUAGAUAAUGAGAAGCCCUCCCUGGGUGUUAGUGCUACCUACCCUGAGGGCGUGUAGCCUGGAUAAAAUAUAAGGGACAGAAAGAGGGUUGCUGUUUACUGCGUGCUACUUAUAUGCUUCGCCGUCUCCUGUAUGCUUUGCCCUGAACGGUUUCUUUGUGAUGCUGGUCUGCCAUCCACACUGCCUUGGAUGCAGCCAGCUAUGAAAUGAAACCUCUACAAACUGUGAGCUAAAUAAACCUUUCCUCCU
rnacentral:lncRNA from 1 species